UUUUAUCGCAACUCUAUCCAGUGGCCUAACUGAUCGAAUGUUGAUCACAUGUUAAAACAUAUCAGUAGAAAAUAAGUUAGUAUUCAUGGCAUGUACCAUGUAGAGUAAAAUCAUAUUGAUAGUUACACUAUUUUAGAAAGAAGUUACCUCAGCACUGAUUCCUUCCUCCGACAGUAUUCAGCAGCCUGUAAACAAACUGAGCAUUAUAAUAUGUCAAAAUAAAAAUGCUGAGAGAGUAAUUCAAUCCAGCAACAGAACAUUCCAUAUUAGGACAAAAAUACAAAAGAAAACCACAAUUUCCAAAAGGUCUGUAUCUGAAUGAAAUCAUUGCACACACCAGAGCAAAGUUGAUAUUGUUAUAAAAAUGUACUUCUUGCUACAAGGACAAAACCAGAAAAGACCAUGUGCAAAAUAAACUUUCUCGUCAAUCUAGCUAGGGGCCUGUUCAUAUGAAGAAGAGAAGGAUCAGCAAAGAAAAUAACAUAUCAAGAAAAGAAAAGAAAAUAUAUUAGAAUGUAAAUAUGUUUGCUCAUCAAUUACCUUCUGCCUUUUUGAUAAACAUAUUAUAUUUUAAUUUGCUCAGUUGUUUUCUUUUUCUUUUUUAGCAAACUGCCAUAUAUGGUACACGAAGAAGCAUUUACCUGAAGGCAUUAAUAUCUUUUUCAGCUUUUUAGUCUUACUGAAUACUCCUGAAGGAGUCAAGGACUUGUUUGCUACUGUAUAUUAAUAGGAGUAGGUAAAAGGCCAGUGUGGGUGAAAAUAUUAUAAGGACAAAUACAUUAAAUUCAAUGACAAAAUCAAGCUUUCAAAUGAUGCUUAUGUGGUAUUGCAACAAACUCCGACAUCCAAAUGUACUGUAAAAUAAAAAAAUUAACAUCUGCUGUGAGCGAGCACAAGUAUCGAUCAAUUUUACAAUUGAUGAUUUAGAUCCUAAGAGGCUAUAUUUCUUUAUUCAAAUGAUAUAAAUAAAUUAAAUAAGAUGAGAGUGAGACUACAUACAUAAAGCUGAAUGUGCAAGAUCGACAUCAUCCCCUAAGUGCUUCUCUUCUCAACUGCUUCC
rnacentral:lncRNA from 1 species